rnacentral:rRNA from 1 species
GACAGAGGUGCCGAGCGUUAGGCGGAAUCACUGGGCUUAAAGCGUGUGUAGGCGGAUCGUUAAGUACCUUGUGAAAUCCCAUGGCUCAACCAUGGAACUGCUUGGUAUACUGGCGGUCUUGAGCCAGCUAGGGGCUACCGGAACAAAUGGUGGAGCGGUGAAAUGCGUAGAUAUCAUUUGGAACGCCAAUGGUGAAAACAGGUAGCUGGGGCUGUGCUGACGCUGAGACACGAAAGCAUGGGGAGCAAACAGG